GAGCUCAGAAGGUAAGUAGUGUUGAGGAAGGAGGAUGUGGAAAGCUGCUAUUGCAAGAGGCUUAUGUUACAUUGUGUGUGGAAGUGCAGAGGAGUAGAAGAUACACGUGGUGAAAGGAGAACAGCCUGGGUGUGUUUAUGACCCAGAAAAGAAUGGAACAUGGGGGCAGCAUCUGAGCUUUGAAUUCUCUGAUGCUCAACAGUUCUGAGCCAUGGACCUCAGUCUGAACCCCCCACCCUGAGCUCUGGAUUUUGUAGACUCAAAUCUAGCCCAGUGAUAUAGACCCAGAGGAAGGACUGUGAGCUGUACACAGACCUGGCCAUGCAGGAGGGUGAGAACUGCAAGAAAGUAAAACUCUUAUUUUAUUGGGGAGCAAAGCAGAGAGAUCUGCACUACUAUGAAGCUCAACACUGCCUCAAGUCUCCCAGCAGUCCUAGGAGCCCUGGGGACCUAUUGCUCCCUGAAGCUGAACAAAACUAUGGUGUGACAGAGGUUUUUCACUGGAGACUCAUCCAGAGCAACCAGAGACACUUAUGACCCAGUAGAGACAACACCCAGCAAAAGCCUGCAGAGAUCCUUGCAGACUGGAGAGACCGAGAACCAUCUGAAGGCCAACUCUACAGGGAGAGAGAGAUUUCACAGAGAGAGUUUGCCAGACUCCGACAGAGGUAGGUCACUUCCAGCGUGGUCUCCUGUUGACAAGAUCACUCUCUCAAAGCUGAUUCUCUGGUAAAGACUGAGACUCCCACUUGCUAUGUGCUAGCAACCUGUAGGGGAGCUUUGAGUGUCAAUUAUUUAUUUUUAAUGUUAAAAUGUUUAUAAAAUAGGGAGGCAAUAUCAUGAUCAAUGGCACUGGAGUCAGAAGGCUCAUGUUUGCUGGAGAGACUUACGGAUAGGACACCACCAGAACAGGGAGUUAGGCUGGAAGCAACUCAGCUAGAUGGACAGAGUCAUGCACAGGGUUUAAUACAGUUCCACUUCAACGCCAUUUGACAUCUGUCUCAUUGCUAAAGUAACUAGCACUGGUGACUAGAGUCUUUAAUUUCAAUAGAACAGGGAGGCUUUCUUAAUUAGGGGCCUGGGCUGAAUUUGAUCAUCUGAGGCUUUCACCUGUAGGUUAGAACCCAUUACCAGUGUGAACUUACAACUUCUGCCAUUAUAGCCCAUCACUAUGGACUGUUACUACACAGCAGUGAAAUGGGUUUUUUAUACUACUAUGCACAUCCCAUCCAUCUUCUAGUAAUAUACAUGCCCUACUUUUGAAAUAAAACAUGAGAAGAGUUA